rnacentral:rRNA from 1 species
GCACGGGUGCGUAACGCGUGGGAAUCUGCCCUUUGCUUCGGAAUAACAGUUAGAAAUGACUGCUAAUACCGGAUGAUGUCGCAAGACCAAAGAUUUAUCGGCAAGGGAUGAGCCCGCGUAGGAUUAGGUAGUUGGUGGGGUAGAGGCUCACCAAGCCGACGAUCCUUAGCUGGUCUGAGAGGAUGAUCAGCCACACUGGGACUGAGACACGGCCCAGACUCCUACGGGAGGCAGCAGUGGGGAAUAUUGGACAAUGGGCGAAAGCCUGAUCCAGCAAUGCCGCGUGAGUGAUGAAGGCCUUAGGGUUGUAAAGCUCUUUUACCAGGGAUGAUAAUGACAGUACCUGGAGAAUAAGCUCCGGCUAACUCCGUGCCAGCAGCCGCGGUAAUACGGAGGGAGCUAGCGUUGUUCGGAAUUACUGGGCGUAAAGCGCACGUAGGCGGCCUGACAAGUCUGAUGUUGAAAUCUAUGGGCUCAACCCAUAGCCUUGGCAUCGGAAAACUGUCGGGCUUGAGUAUGGGAGAGGUUGAUUGGGAAUUUCCCGGGUGUAGCGGGUGGAAAUGCGUUAGGAUUUUCGGGAAGGGGAAACACCU